UCCACAGGCACAGCUUCAUCGUUACAAUGGU
rnacentral:piRNA from 1 species